UCUCGGCAACGGAUAUCUCGGCUCUUGCAUCGAUGAAGAACGUAGCGAAAUGCGAUACCUGGUGUGAAUUGCAGAAUCCCGUGAACCAUCGAGUCUUUGAACGCAAGUUGCGCCCGAGGCCAUCCGGCCAAGGGCACGCCUGCCUGGGCGUCACG
rnacentral:rRNA from 3 species